rnacentral:rRNA from 1 species
GAUGAACGCUGGCGGCGUGCCUAAUACAUGCAAGUCGAGCGAACAGACGAGGAGCUUGCUCCUCUGACGGUAGCGGCGGACGGGUGAGUAACACGUGGAUAACCUACCUAUAAGACUGGGAGAACUUCGGGAAACCGGAGCUAAUACCGGAUAAUAUAUUGAACCGCAUGGUUCAAUAGUGAAAGACGGUUUUGCUGUCACUUAUAGAUGGAUCCGCGCCGCAUUAGCUAGUUGGUAAGGUAACGGCUUACCAAGGCAACGAUGCGUAGCCGACCUGAGAGGUGGAUCGGCCACACUGGACCUGAGACCCGGUCCAGACUCCUACGGAAGGCAGCAUUAGGAAAUCUUCCGCAAUGGGCGAAACCUUGACGGAGCAACGCCGCGUGGGUGAUGAGGGUCUUCGGAUCGUAAAACCCUGUUAUUAGGGAAAAACAAAUGUGUAAGUAACUCUGCUCGUCUUGACGGUCCCAAAUCAGAAAGCCACGCCUACCUCCGG